CCUACGGGUGGCAGCAGUGAGGAAUAUUGGUCAAUGGACGAGAGUCUGAACCAGCCAAGUAGCGUGAAGGAUGACUGCCCUAUGGGUUGUAAACUUCUUUUAUAUGGGAAUAAAACGUUCCACGUGUGGGAUUUUGUAUGUACCAUAUGAAUAAGGAUCGGCUAACUCCGUGCCAGCAGCCGCGGUAAUACGGAGGAUCCGAGCGUUAUCCGGAUUUAUUGGGGUUAAAGGGAGCGUAGGUGGAUUGUUAAGUCAGUUGUGAAAGUUUGCGGCUCAACCGUAAAAUUGCAGUUGAAACUGGCAGUCUUGAGUACAGUAGAGGUGGGCGGAAGUCGUGGUGUAGCGGUGAAAUGCUUAGAUAUCACGAAGAACUCCGAUUGCGAAGGCAGUUCACUGGACUGCAACUGACACUGAGGCUCGAAAGUGUGGGUAUCAAACAGGAUUAGAUACCCUUGUAGUC
rnacentral:rRNA from 1 species